rnacentral:rRNA from 1 species
UACAGAGGGUGCAAGCGUUGUUCGGAAUUACUGGGCGUAAAGCGCGUGUAGGCUGCGAUGUAAGUCUGAUGUGAAAGCCCUGGGCUCAACCUGGGAAUGGCAUUGGAAACUGGCGACCUAGAGUGCGGUAGAGGGUAGUGGAAUUCCCGGUGUAGCAGUGAAAUGCGUAGAGAUCGGGAGGAACAUCCGUGGCGAAGGCGACUACCUGGACCAGCACUGACACUGAGGCACGAAAGCUAGGGGAGCAAACAGG